GACGAACGCUGGCGGCGUGCUUAACACAUGCAAGUCGAACGGAAAGGCCCUGCUUUUGUGGGGUGCUCGAGUGGCGAACGGGUGAGUAACACGUGAGUAACCUGCCCUUGACUUUGGGAUAACUUCAGGAAACUGGGGCUAAUACCGGAUAGGAGCUCCUGCUGCAUGGUGGGGGUUGGAAAGUUUCGGCGGUUGGGGAUGGACUCGCGGCUUAUCAGCUUGUUGAUGGGGUAGUGGCUUACCAAGGCUUUGACGGGUAGCCGGCCUGAGAGGGUGACCGGCCACAUUGGGACUGAGAUACGGCCCAGACUCCUACGGGAGGCAGCAGUGGGGAAUAUUGCACAAUGGGCGGAAGCCUGAUGCAGCAACGCCGCGUGCGGGAUGACGGCCUUCGGGUUGUAAACCGCUUUCGCCUGUGACGAAGCGUGAGUGACGGUAAUGGGUAAAGAAGCACCGGCUAACUACGU
rnacentral:rRNA from 1 species